GUGGCCGUAGCUCAACCGGCAGAGCACCUGACUGUGGAUCAGGUGGUUGGGGGUUCAAGUCCCCUCGGCCACC
rnacentral:tRNA from 1 species